UACAGAGGUCUCAAGCGUUGUUCGGAUUCAUUGGGCGUAAAGGGUGCGUAGGUGGUGAUGCAAGUCUGGUGUGAAAUCUCGGAGCUCAACUCCGAAAUUGCACCGGAUACUGCGUGACUCGAGGACUGUAGAGGAGAUCGGAAUUCACGGUGUAGCAGUGAAAUGCGUAGAUAUCGUGAGGAAGACCAGUUGCGAAGGCGGAUCUCUGGGCAGUUCCUGACACUGAGCACGAAGGCCAGG
rnacentral:rRNA from 1 species